UAGGAGAGGAGCCCAUCCCCAAAGAAAAGUUGGGUGCUUACCUACCAGAGGAUGAGGGAAUGAAUGCUGGGAGCGUGGAGACGAGCUGUUACUCCAUCACUCCUACUCCCGCUCCUGUGAUCCUAGCCUGGGCCUGCCUGGUGUUUGUGGGUGCUGGGGUCUGACCCUGCCCAGGGCUGGACUGCCCCCUUUGUCAGCGUUCCCUUUGGAGCUGAGGUUGUUCCCUCAAACGCCACGCUGGCUUUCUCUGAGCUGAGGAGAGCAGGUCACAGAUGCCUUGAGGAGCACACUACCACACUGUGUCUCCUGGCUGGCCCUGGGCAAAACCACCAGAGCUCCGGGACUCAGGUGCCUGCAGGAAAGAGGCGAUGAUAUAAUACAUGGGAACGUCUUAGACUCAAAAGUGCUCAAUGCGUGGCCGAUGACUUCGCUAGCAGCCCAUUUUUUUUAGUAUAUUGAGUUUGGGUUCUGGGGCAGUUUCAGAGAUAUCAAAGACUCAUUUGGCUAGCAGUAAUUUGGGGGAGUUUACUAUUUUCAGGUACCUAGCUAUUUGUCCCAAGCUUUUCUCCAAGGGGAUGAUUUUGCAUGAGAUUCAUGGGCCACAGGAAACACCUUUCAGGGCGACAUUUAGCAAUCUUUCCAAUUUUCAGUAUCCUUUCAUACAGCGCUAUAACUUGUCACAUGUGUGAUUGGGCGGGAUGACCAGCGGGGGAAGGAAUGCUGUCAGGAGACAAAGGAUAAAUCAGUGUGCUGCUUUGUUCUGGGUGAGUCCCCAUCUUCUCAUCCUGAACUCUUCAUCAUUUUGGAAUUUAUAAUAUCUACUCAUAAUUUUUGAAGGAUAUGGGCUUUUUAAUAACCACUGUGCUUGGGUCUCUUCUCUAUGGCCGCAGGUCCAGAUGGAUACCACCAUUAAUAGACUCUUUGUAGCGGUUUAUUGAACUGGAAGCAGUCUUAUUCUGGGGGUGCUAUUGCUAAGCUGGUGUCCCACGAUGAUGCCUUGUCAUCAUCCCCAGAUUUGCUGGGCCCAGGAAUCUGCAUUUCUCCAAACCAUAUCCUGGCCUCGUAAAACGCAUUCACAGGAGAGGUUGAGUUACUGAUUUAGAUGCUAAAUUUUAGAGGAAAGGUUACAAAAUACAUAGGCAAUGGAAGUUGGAAUUUUCACUAGGUGGCUCUAUCUCAUAGCUAAGGUUUAGCAGCACAGACAGCUGCGGUAUUUAAGGCUGGAUUUAAAGGCUUUAAGCGUUGAAAAGAUUAUGGUGUUCCCCAGACCUGCCAAUAUUAA
rnacentral:lncRNA from 1 species